GCAGCACCGCGGUAAUACGGAGGGUGCAAGCGUUAUCCGGAUUUAUUGGGUUUAAAGGGUCCGUAGGCGGACUUAUAAGUCAGUGGUGAAAGCCUGUCGCUUAACGAUAGAACUGCCAUUGAUACUGUAAGUCUUGAGUAUAUUUGAGGUAGCUGGAAUAAGUAGUGUAGCGGUGAAAUGCAUAGAUAUUACUUAGAACACCAAUUGCGAAGGCAGGUUACCAAGAUAUAACUGACGCUGAGGGACGAAAGCGUGGGUAGCGAACAGGAUUAGAUACCCCGUGUAGUCCCUGUCUCUUAUAC
rnacentral:rRNA from 1 species